UCACCUUACUACCAUAAAUACAUGAUUAUAGAUAGGGUUUUAGGGAGACUAGAGAUAAUUAAGAUGGCUAAAAUUUAAUCUAGGGUGUUUUUGCAAUAUUUUAAUGUGGGGAGAGCUACUUUAUAGCAGUUUUCUUCUCAUUUCAAUUAAAUUUAUGAAUAUUUCCUACAAUCACACACCUUUUUCACAUAAUUUCAUGUUAAUUAAUUAAUCCAUCACAAAAUUAUUUUAUUUUAAUUUAUUUUUUUUGUUAUUGUCAUUCCAAGUCUUCCAAAGUGUCAAAGGAGCUAUUGAAAUCCAAGAAAGAUCAUCUGAAAGGUAAGGUUCUGAUUG
rnacentral:misc_RNA from 1 species